rnacentral:tRNA from 1 species
CAGAGGGUAGUUUAAUUAAAAUAUUAGUUUUGGGGAUUAAUGAUAGGGCGUUGCUCUACCUCUGA